rnacentral:rRNA from 1 species
UACGAAGGGUGCAAACGUUGCUCGGAAUUAUUGGGCGUAAAGCGCACGUAGGCGGCAUUGCAAGUCGGAUGUGAAAUCUUAUGGCUUAACCAUAAAAGUGCAUCCGAAACUGCAGUGCUUGAGUACCUAAGAGGAUCGCGGAAUUCCCGGUGUAGAGGUGAAAUUCGUAGAUAUCGGGAGGAACACCAGUGGCGAAGGCGGCGAUCUGGGAAGAUACUGACGCUGAGGUGCGAAAGCGUGGGGAGCAAACAGG